CCUACGGGUGGCAGCAGUCGAGAAUCAUUCACAAUGGGGGAAACCCUGAUGGUGCGACGCCGCGUGGGGGAAUGAAGGUCUUCGGAUUGUAAACCCCUGUCACGUGGGAGCAAAGUAAAAAGAUAGUACCACAAGAGGAAGAGACGGCUAACUCUGUGCCAGCAGCCGCGGUAAUACAGAGGUCUCAAGCGUUGUUCGGAAUCACUGGGCGUAAAGCGUGCGUAGGCUGUUUCGUAAGUCGUGUGUGAAAGGCGCGGGCUCAACCCGCGGACGGCACAUGAUACUGCGAGACUAGAGUAAGGGAGGGGGUACUGGAAUUCUCGGUGUAGCAGUGAAAUGCGUAGAUAUCGGGAGGAACACUCGUGGCGAAGGCGAGUUCCUGGACAUUAACUGACGCUGAGGCACGAAGGCCAGGGGAGCGAAAGGGAUUAGAUACCCUGGUAGUC
rnacentral:rRNA from 1 species